rnacentral:rRNA from 1 species
GAUGAACGCUAGCGGGAGGCUUAACACAUGCAAGUCGAGGGGCAUCUCUGGUAGCAAUACUGGAGGCGACCGGCGUACGGGUGAGUAACGCGUAUGUAACCUACCCUUUACCGGGGGAUAGCUCCCGGAAACGGGAAUUAAUACCCCAUGAGGUUUCGGAGGCGCAUGCUUUCGGGAUCAAAGCUACGGCGGUAAAGGAUGGGCAUGCGUAGCAUUAGCUAGUUGGUAGGGUAACGGCCUACCAAGGCUACGAUGCUUAGGGGACCUGAGAGGUUGGUCCCCCACACUGGUACUGAGACACGGCCCAGACUCCUACGGGAGGCAGCAGUAGGGAAUCUUGCGCAAUGGGCGAAAGCCUGACGCAGCCAUGCCGCGUGAAUGAUGAAGGUCUUAGGAUUGUAAAAUUCUUUCACCGGGGAAGAUAAUGACGGUACCCGGAGAAGAAGCCCCGGCUAACUUCGUG